AAAUAGUAGGGUUUCCUGUAGUAAUCAGGUAGAGUUUUUACUUCAUGAUAUUGGAAGUAAAUAAGUAGUCAAAACAUGACAGCUUUACUAUACAUGCUUUUCGCAACCACAGAAGAAGACAAAACAGGAAGUAGUUGGUUGUUGUUAGCUAGCUACUGUUUUUAACAAUCCCGAAUGUAAUCUUCCAUCCUUCGCCAUCCUGUCUUUUAUAACCCAUCUGAGGCCCUCAACAUAAGAAGACUGGAGGCCAUUGUUGGACCUGAGCCCUAGGACCAUGCCCCAGGACUACCUGACAUGAUGACUCCUUGCUGUCCCCAGUCCACCUGACCGUGCUGCUGCUCCAGUUUCAACUGUUCUGCCUUAUUAUUAUUCGACCAUGCUGGUCAUUUAUGAACAUUUGAACAUCUUGGCCAUGUUCUGUUAUAAUCUCCACCCGGCACAGCCAGAAGAGGACUGGCCACCCCACAUAUGCUCUCUCUAAUUCUCUCUUUCUUUCUCUCUCUCGGAGGACCUGAGCCCUAGGACCAUGCCCCAAGACUACCUGACAUGAUGACUCCUUGCUGUCCCCAGUCCACCUGACCGUGUUGCUGCUCCAGUUUCAACUGUUCUGCCUUAUUAUUAUAUGACCAUGCUGGUCAUUUAUGAACAUUUGAACAUCUUGGCCAUGUUCUGUAUUAAUCUCCACCCGGCACAGCCAGAAGAGGACUGGCCACCCCACAUAGCCUGGUUCCUCUCUAGGUUUCUUCCUAGGUUUUGUCCUUUCUAGGGAGUUUUUCCUAGCCACCGUGCUUCUAUACCUGCAUUGCUUGCUGUUUGGGGUUUUAGGCUGGGUUUCUGUUCAGCACUUUGAGAUAUCAGCUGAUGUACGAAGGGCUAUAUAAAUAAAUUCGAUUUGAUUUGAUUUGAGAGAGGGUGAGAUUGUGGAUGAGACAGACUCUGGGGUUUAUAGAUCCAUUGUUGUUGCUCUCUGCAGAAAUAGGUUGCAUUUAUUCUCUCAAAGGAGAAGGGAGCUACACAUCUCUUCCUCCUCCUUAUCAUCCUAUUUUUUCUCUCUCAGGGGGGCUGCAUGCAAAGAUCCACUCCUAAUAAUCUUUAUGACCUCCAAAGUUCGUCAGGAAACGUUUAUCUUUCUCUUCCUCUGAACACUCAAACGUGGCUGUCAUGCUUCUCCACAGCUAGCGAAGCUGUGACACCGCUAAAUGUUUAUUGAUGCGUCACUAAAAUGUUUAUCUUCUUUGGUGAACUUGCCAUAUAAUGGCCAGGGAGUUGAACAUUUCAAAUAUGAAAUCUGCCCAUUUCCAAGUGGCCAUGUCAAAUUGUCAGACAGAGUAUUUGCUUGAUGCUGUCUGAGUGCUGGCUGGUAAAAACAAUAAAUAAAUUGCUCUGUCUCCUCUCUGGCUAAGGGUGUCCUCUUAUAACUGCACAGAGAGAGGGAGGAGGGGAGAGGAGAGGAAAGAAAGUGAGAAAGAUGGGCAUAGAGAG
ensembl:lncRNA